rnacentral:pre_miRNA from 1 species
ACAACAACAUUCGGACCGUCGGUCUACCGAGCAAUAUCACCCGCUCGGUGGAAGAUCUUCCUUUGUCGUAUAUC